CCUACGGGUGGCUGCAGUAGGGAAUAUUGCUCAAUGGGGGAAACUCUGAAGCAGCAACGCCGCGUGGAGGAUGAAGGUUUUAGGAUUGUAAACUCCUUUUGUUAGAGAAGAUUAUGACGUUAUCUAACGAAUAAGCCCCGGCCAACCUCGUGCCAGCCGCCGCGGUAAUACGGAGGGUGCAAGCGUUACUCGGAAUCACUGGGCGUAAAGGGUGCGUAGGCGGGGUAAUAAGUCAGAUGUGAAAUCCUGUGGCUUAACUACAGAACUGCAUUUGAAACUUUUACUCUGGAGUGUGGGAGAGGUAGGUGGAAUUCUUGGUGUAGGGGUAAAAUGCGUAGAGAUCAAGAGGAAUACUCAUUGCGAAGGCGACCUGCUGGAACAUAACUGACGCUGAUGCACGAAAGCGUGGGGAGCAAACAGGAUUAGAUACCCGUGUAGUC
rnacentral:rRNA from 1 species